UUGUUGACUGUUUUCCUAUAACCGUAUGUUUAUUCCUUACAUAAAUUAAACACAAAGCAUGUAGGGGUUCUACAUGCAUGUAGUAUUUGUACAAUCAAUAACCUAUUAGAGUAAUACAUUGUGGUAUAUAAACUGAACUUUGUGUUUGAUGUGUCUGCAGUGCCCAAAGCCCGUGGUGGUGGCAGUGCAUGGCGGUUGUGUAUAAGCAGGUCUGUUGGGACUGUUAAGUACCAUCAUCUCAUACACUCACCACAACUCUGGGAAGUUCCAUCCAUAUUGUUUGCUGUCACUUUUCCUGCAAAGCUUUAACCAUCAGAGAGUUAUCUUUUACUGGGGCUUUUAGCUGCAGGAGACUGAAUUACUAAGUUUUUUUUUUUGUGGAUCUGAUUUCUUCUUUCGCAGGAGUGGAUCUAAUCACAGCCUGUGAUAUUCGUCUGUGCACACAGGAUGCCUGGUUUCAGGUGAAGGUAUGAGGAACAUUAACUUGCCAUACAUUGCUUGCUUACAUGUUUACACCAAGAUCUGUAAACAAGCUAUUUUUGUCCAUAUGAUCAUAUAUAGAGAUAGUAAGUGAUGAGAAGAUAAGAAUGGGCUGAUUGUUCUGACUCAUACAAGCCCCUAUGAAAGAGUUGACCACAAGGGGGCACACUCUGAACAAUUAUUUACAUUUGCAGUUUGUUGAAGAUUAAAUAAACCACAGUGAGCAUCAGAUGUCUGGUUUUAAUACAAAGUUUUAUGAUGAACUAUUUUAUGAUAUUACCAUCUUGUCAUUUAUCAAAGAAGAGCUACAAAACCUGAAAUUUGUUCAUUUUUAGACAGAAAAAUUCUGCAGUGUAGCUCUUCUAGUGGGCUUUCCCACUGGAUGUUUAGUCCAACACAGAGCAGUUUGCAUGAAAAGUUGGUAAUGUGACCGUCGUAAUGUGGACUGGGAAGUGCACUGCGGUACCGAACCCGAGACUACCUGUAGAAGGUGGUCCGAGUUCAGUUACAAUGGAACUGUGAAUGUGAAUUGUCCCAUGAAUGUGAACGUAACUUGUAUCCGGGUCUGCACUUUUUCAGGAAGUAGAGUAACCUGUGCUGAAGGCCUGUUGUGGUGAUGACGUGUCAUGACAUGUUUUGGCCCAAAUCUGCAGUGACUUUGAAAAAGUGGAAGCUCCUCUGAAUAUUGUGGAGUUUCUUGAUUUUGCGUUAAUUUCUGUGAUCACAAAAAGAUGAAAUUCUGGACUGACACAUGGAAGAUAUGGAAUGAUAACAGAAGAAUGUGACUUUGGGUUGUACCGUGUAUUUUUUUCAUGUAGCUUUAUUAUUUAGUAUAAAUGAAGGCAAGUGUGUGUUCUGUUCUUCAUCUCUGCAGUCGUGUGUUCCCUGAUAGUCAAUGAUUGCUGGAGCUCUGGAAAUAGCAGGUGAGAUUGCAGGCCGGAGUCGCGUCGCUGUCCAAGGAACCAAAAUCAACCUCCUCUACUCCUGAGACCACAGUGUGACUGAGAGCCUAGACUACAUGGCUACUUGGAACAUGAACAUGCUGCAGAAACAGGAUCUUAUGAAGUCAGCGCAGGCAGCCCUGGAAAAGAAGAGUCCGAAAGACGUGCCCUUCUCCAAGCUUUAAAGGAGAAGAUCCAGGGCUGUUGAAGCUGCGGUGGAACUGAGACAUCAUCAUCCACAUAUCUUCAGUUCUUCUUGCUAAGUCUGUUUCUUUUUAGUCUUUUUAUUUUUAGACUGGUCAAAAGACUGAUUAGUGGAAGUGAAAUGAUAGAUGAACUUUUAAUUACUUGCUUUAUUAUUUGCAGGUGCCUUGUACAGUAAGACAGGGUAACUAAUACUCCAAAAGCUUGUUUUGUGUGUUAACAUGUACAGUAGAUGGACAUAUUUUUUCUGGUGCUGUGACUGCAGAAUGUAGUGCAGUUAACACAUUAAAUUUCCUUGGAUGCUCACUUUUAACUCGAGGAGGUCACAGUUUGCCCAGACAUCUUUUUUUAAAUCCGUCAAUCCGUCACCCACACGUCAUUCUGUGGGACGAAGAGGAGGAAGCUGGACAGAUAAAUUUAUUUAUUUAUUUAUCAUUGCUGUGUUUCCUCAAUCGAGUGCAGAAAGAAGAAAAACAACACAACUGAUUUAAAAUAAAAAUAUAGAAAACAAUCUAAUGUAAGGUUCUGAUCCAGUUUGCUUUCAGCAGGAAGGCUGUCCUCUUUCCUGUUGCUCUUUCUCUUCUAUUAGUCCAUUUGUCCAGUCUGAAUCGGUUUUGAUUCGUUUCGAGACGAUUCGGAGUCGAAUAAUUUUCUAGUGAGAGUCGCACACUUCCAAACGAACUAGACUGAGAUGAGUAUUUGAUUCUCACUAGAAAGUGAUUCGACUCUGAAUCAACUCGAAAUGAAUCAGUCAAACUGAUUCAGACUCUAUAAAAGGACUAUGAGAUGUGAUUAAGAUAUAUAUUCCAAUGUUUUGCUUUACAAUUCCAUUGUGUGUGUGUGUGUGUGUGCGUGUGUGUGUGUGUAUGUGUGUGCGUGCGCGCGCACGUGUGUUUUUCAGGAGAACGAGAAACUCGGACACAACAGUACAUCCUGACCAUUGGUACUGUGUACACAUCAACAUACACACACGUCUCCAUGCUGGACAUCUCAGGAGCUUUCACACAGUGCUAGGAAUAUCCCGGGACAGAGAAACGCACCUUCUAAG